rnacentral:snoRNA from 1 species
GCAAUGAUGACAAGUUUUGGUUUUGAUCAGCAGUGAAAAAAGCACUACCAAUUCCUCUAAGAAGUUCUGAGCUC